rnacentral:rRNA from 1 species
UACGGGGGGGGCAAGCGUUGUUCGGAAUUACUGGGCGUAAAGGGCUCGUAGGCGGCCAACUAAGUCGAACGUGAAAUCCCCAGGCUCAACCUGGGAACUGCGUCCGAUACUGGCAGGCUUGAAUCCGGGAGAGGGAUGUGGAAUUCCAGGUGUAGCGGUGAAAUGCGUAGAUAUCUGGAGGAACACCGGUGGCGAAGGCGGCAUCCUGGACCGGUAUUGACGCUGAGGCGCGAAAGCGUGGGGAGCAAACAGG